CCUACGGGUGGCCGCAGUGAGGAAUAUUGGUCAAUGGCCGGAAGGCUGAACCAGCCAAGCCGCGUGAAGGACGAAGGUGCCAAGCAUUGUAAACUUCUUUUGUCAAGGGACAAAAUCAGGCUCGAGAGCCUGACCGAGGGUACUUGAAGAAAAAGCAUCGGCUAACCCCGUGCCAGUAGCCGCGGUACUACGGAGGAUGCGAUGUUUGUCCGGAUGUAGUGGGUUUAAGGGGUGCGUAGGGGGGCAGUUAAGUCAGAGGUAAAAGCCCGGGGCUAAACCCCGGCGAGCCGUUGAAACUGGCUGUCUUGAGAUGUCGAGAGGUAUGCGGAAUGCGCAGUGUAGCGGUGAAAUGCUUAGAUAUUGCGCAGAACUCCGAUUGCGAAGGCAGCAUACCGGCGGCGAUCUGACGCUGAGGCACGAAAGCGUGGGUAUCGAACAGGAUUAGAUACCCCAGUAGUC
rnacentral:rRNA from 1 species